UCCGGCAGCCCAUUAGAUAGCCUAUCAACUUCUCCCCUUACGCCGCAUUGCAGAGGAGCAGACCUAAUCUCGCGAUCUACAUCGUGAGCCCUUUCAUCUCUCUUCUCUUCGAUUGUGUCCCUUCUCGAACAAUCAAUUCUCUCUCCACUCCUGUUUUCUCUUUAAUCGUGUAGUUAAUGGAAUCUCUUAGAUUUCUUACUCUCAACUCUCUCAGACAUUUCUUGGAUGCUGUUAUAUCCUAUAUAAAUCGCUCAUUAGGUUUUAUAUUUCAUCCAAACAAUUGUUCAAAUCCUCUCGACUGCUCAUUACGAUGACGUUAUCCGACUCACAGAAAAAAAUCAGCAACUCCGCGUUCUCCUCCGGCUCGAUCAACUCCGUCGAUCAGGCCGUCGUCCCUUCCGCCGUGGUUAACUCUGAGAAAUCUGAAGGUAUCAAGAAUGGCUUCAUCUAAACCUAAAUUCUAUCAAAAUCAAAAUCAAAACCUAGCCCUAAGCUCAACCGAAACCACUAAUCACCGUAGAACCCCUUCUGAUUGAUGAUCAGGUAUGACAUUGCCUUCCUCAUAUUUACAUCUUACGACUCAAUUCCACUCACCCAUAUAAUCAACUUUCUAAAGUGCUGCUUUCUGUUCCUUAAGAUGCAAUUCCAUGUUCGUAAUUAACGAUUCACUCCAUCUGUUUAGUUUUUGGUGUGGUGUGGUGUGGUGUGUUGUUAAUGUGAUUGUAGCCUCUGAGCAAUAUGUCUUUUAAACGAUGGAGAUAACUACAAUCUAUAGCGUAUAAUGGGAAGAGGAUAUCUUGGAGGAAACUUAAGGUAUCAAGAAUCAAGGGCUGUCCCUCAGCUAAGAUAUGGCUCACUGGUCUCAGCUUAUUUACUUUGAAAGUCUGGAAUUCUGCAGAACCUUACAUUUCUGAGGAUCGUAAGAUAAAAGCACUGAUCUCUCUUACUCUAAAACUGCAAGCAAACUGUCUGAUCUGGAUUGGAGGUUGACGUGACAUGAACAAGAAGUGUACAGAGAGGCAGUUAUUCUCGAACACCACCAAGUGGAUUGUGGAUGUACGUACAGAAGGAGGUAGUGAUGUGUGUUGGCUAGAGGAUUUUCUCAGUCCAUUGAGUAUUCUCUGCUCUGCAAUAACAAGCCGACAUUACACAAAAAUUGGAAAACAUAUAUAGACUUACCCGCUAUUUUGAAGAUGGUAAAAACAAAACAAUUGAGACUGUGGUUCAUUUUGGGAUCCGAAAGGACCACAACGACAGAGUCUGGUAUCUGCUGAUUUCGUACACAUCUCCAAGAGCUUGCAAAAGAACGCGUCUUAAAGAUUCAGGGAUGUUGGAGAUUAGGACUUCGUGGAGACGUAUUGGACGCAAUCAUAGAGGCGUUGCAGAUUAAUCUAUUGCUAGAGGACUCCGCUUCAAUAUUCAGGGAAAGAAAACGAGAUUAUCAGAAGCUGGGACACAAUGGUAGGGAGAUGGAUGAAACAGGAACGGAUUCACUCAUGGAUCUGCAACUAACUGAUCCAAAGAGCAGUAGAGCUUUCCUCUGCGGACAAGACUAUGCAUGCAAGACAACACUGUAGCAACUCUGUAAUGCAAAAUUUCUGUGCUUCCGGUUUCCCAUAGGUGGAGAAUUGAGAACUUUGAUGAAUCCUGUGGAGAAAGUUGUUAAAACAGUUGGUGGGCUGAUAAUGAGGACAUCCAUGGACGAGGAAGCAAAGAUUUCAAUAUGCAAUUUGCGGUGCAGCAGGGUUCUAUGCUCUUCAGGAUCUGAUGUUUUUUUUUGUAAGAGAUCUUCAUGAUCUGAUGUUCCCGACCAUAUGUCCAAAUACUUCAAAUUAGUUUUAUUUACUCUACCAAGUUGUAAGGUCGUUUAUCACUAAUAAAUUUGAUAUUUUCAAAUAAUAAUAAUAAUUGAGUUUGGUUGUAAAAA